GAUGAACGCUGGCGGCGUGCCUAAUACAUGCAAGUCGAACGCACAGCGAAAGGUGCUUGCACCUUUCAAGUGAGUGGCGAACUGGUGAGUAACACGUGGACAACCUGCCGCAAGGAUGAGGAGAACACUUCGAAACAGAUGCCAAUACCGAAUAAAACUUAGUGUCGCAUGACACAAAGAUAAAAGGCGCUCCGGCGUCACCUAGAGAUGGAUCAGGGCUUCAUUAGUUAGUUGGUGGGGUAAAGGCCUACCAAGUCAAUGGGGAAUAGCUGAGUGGAGAGACUGUUAGGCGACAUUGCGAGUGAGACAUGGCCCACACUGCUACGGGAAGACGCAGUAGGCACUCAUCCGCAACAGGCGAAAGCAUGAUGGAGCAACGCGGGAUGUGUGAAGAAGGCAAUGGGGUCGUAAAGUACUGUGGCAUGGGAAGAACAGCUAGAAUAGGAGAUGAUUUUAGUUUGACGGUACCAUACCAGAAAGGGACGGCUAAAUACGUG
rnacentral:rRNA from 1 species